rnacentral:rRNA from 1 species
AGUGAACGCUGGCGGUAGGCCUAACACAUGCAAGUCGAACGGCAGCACAGUAAGAGCUUGCUCUUACGGGUGGCGAGUGGCGGACGGGUGAGGAAUACAUCGUAAUCUACUUUUUCGUGGGGGAUAACGUAGGGAAACUUACGCUAAUACCGCAUACGACCUACGGGGGAAAGCAGGGGAUCUUCGGACCUUGCGCGAAUGAAUGAGCCGAUGUCGGAUUAGCUAGUUGGCGGGGUAAAGGCCCACCAAGGCGACGAUCCGUAGCUGGUCUGAGAGGAUGGUCGGCCACACUGGAACGUGAACACGGUCCAGACUCCUAAGGGAGGCAGCAGUGGGGAAUAUUGGACAAUGGGCGCAAGCCUGACCCAACCAGACCGCGUGGGUGAAGAAGGCCUUCGGGUUGUAAAGCCCUUUUGUUGGGAAAGAAAAGCAGCAGGUUAAUACCCCGCUGUUCUGACGGUACCCAAAGAAUAAGCACCGGCUAACUUCGUG